UGAUCAUGUGAAGGUGCUGAAUUGUACUCUGCACCAAGAAAAGUACAGGACAACAGGAGACAGCUAUUUCAUUGCCAACAAAGGGAAGAAGGAGGGUGAUUCCUUUCAGACACACACAUCACAUUGUCUACUGGUUUAUUAACUGCCUUCAGGUGAGUUGAAUGAAAGCAGGUGAUGCAACUAUGCUUCAAAUCAUGUAAAAGGGAUGCAUUUUCCCCUUCUGCCUUUUCAGUCUGUCAUAGGAGACUGUGGAGAUCAAUAAUGCAGUGAAUGCUAAAUGUAACAAGCGGGAGACCCAGCAGAAGGAAACCCGGUCAGGUAUAGGUGAGCACCAGCAUUCAGUGCUGAGCUCAAAUGCCUUGCUGACUCAGAUGUGGCGCUGAGACUCGCAUCCCUCAAAGCACCAGGAUUCUUCAGAGGUGUGCUGUCAUGCAGAGGGCACUGGACCCAGUUCCACCAGCCUUCCCAAAAUCUGAUGGGGGAAUAAAGAUUGAGAAAGGGUUUCUGUAUUUUGAAUUUUUAAAAGAGGCCUCUAGACCACUAUUGCUCCUUUGUCACUUUGAAAGGACCCUGGGACAUCCCUUCUGACCUCGCAGAUGAUACAGAUUCCCUUUCCAUGGGCUCCCUGUCCCCACGAUCCUGGCAGUUCUUGCUCAGGGGGCUGAGGAUCGUGCUUCUGGCUGAGGCAGGUGAUGAUCCCCCACCCAGAAUGGUCUGAGGCCCAAGGGGAGCUAAAAACAUCAAGCCUGGAGAUGUGACUGAGAUCUCCACCUAAACCAGGGCUGAGAAACGGUGGCACCACCAUGUACACCUCUUCAAGCAAAAAAAUAAAUAAAUAAAAAUCCAUUAGUGUGCA
rnacentral:lncRNA from 1 species